GUACGGACCUGGCAGGGGAGACACGGUGAUCAGGAAGGUGGUUCUACCUGGGCGAGGCUCAUCCAUUGCUUUUGAGGUGUGCUGAUCCCUGCGAUUUCCCCAAAUGCGGGAAACUCGACUGCAUAAUUUAUAGUAAUGGAGGACUGCGUUCGCGCUCUCCUUUU
ensembl:snRNA U1 U1 spliceosomal RNA